rnacentral:tRNA from 1 species
AGGUUAGAGUAAUCUUACAAAUUGGUUUCGGCCCAAUUCUUUGGGCUUACCCCCACUAACCUU